rnacentral:rRNA from 1 species
ACGGGUGAGUAACACGUGAGCAACCUGCCCCUGGCUCUGGGAUAACUCCGGGAAACCGGUGCUAAUACUGGAUACUACGUCUCCUCGCAUGGGGGGGUGUGGAAAGUUUUUCGGCUGGGGAUGGGCUCGCGGCCUAUCAGCUUGUUGGUGGGGUGAUGGCCUACCAAGGCGACGACGGGUAGCCGGCCUGAGAGGGCGACCGGCCACACUGGGACUGGGACACGGCCCAGACUCCUACGGGAGGCAGCAGUGGGGAAUAUUGCGCAAUGGGCGAAAGCCUGACGCAGCGACGCCGCGUGAGGGAUGAAGGCCUUCGGGUUGUAAACCUCUUUCAGCAGGGAAGAAGCGAAAGUGACGGUACCUGCAGAAGAAGCACCGGCUAACUACGUGCCAGCAGCCGCGGUAAUACGUAGGGUGCAAGCGUUGUCCGGAAUUAUUGGGCGUAAAGAGCUCGUAGGCGGUUUGUCGCGUCUGCUGUGAAAACUCGGGGCUCAACCCCGAGCUUGCAGUGGGUACGGGCAGACUAGAGUGCGGUAGGGGAGACUGGAAUUCCUGGUGUAGCGGUGGAAUGCGCAGAUAUCAGGAGGAACACCGGUGGCGAAGGCGGGUCUCUGGGCCCGUAACUGACGCUGAGGAGCGAAAGCAUGGGGAGCGAACAGGAUUAGAUACCCUGGUAGUCCAUGCCGUAAACGUUGGGGCGCUAGGUGUGGGGCUCGUUCCACGAGUUC